UUGUGGGAUUGUUGUCGUAUGCUUUUCAAUGGCGACGGUCUCUGUUUUUUUAUUGAAUUUUCGUCUUUGAAUGUUUUUCCUGCAGCUAACAAUUAUGAAAGAAGUAGGUAAGAAAUUAUUAUUAUUGUUAUUGUUAAUAUCUAGAAAAAAUAAGUGAGAGUAGUUGGUGACGAUGUAAAGAGAAAAGCUGAAGGAAGUCUGUUGUGACGGAAGGCCGCUCGGUUUUCAUUUUAUUUAGUGGCAAAAUGUAUAAAAAGUUUGGAGUUGAGGUUCAUAAUUAAGAUGUUGGUUAAAACGAAAGAUUAUCUUUCGUUUCUAGUAGACCUUUCCGUCGAUUUCCGUAAAAAACUUUUAUUUUUUUUUACAUAUGGGUUUGCGGGAACUUUUGAAGUAAUGAGAGCGAAAGAGACUAAGAGAAAGCGAUUGUAUGAGGAGGGAAUUUCUUUUUGAAGUUACCGCGAAUGGGAAGCUUUGAUGUACAUGUGUGUGUGUGUGUGUGUGUGUGUGUGUGUUUGAUGGGGUGUGCGAGACAGAAAGUAUGUUGUGUAAGUGAAGUGCUUCUGUUAGUGUGUGUGAAGAGACAGAGAGAGAUAACUGAAAUUUUUUACUCGGUGUAUGUGUAUAUGUAUGUAUGCAUGUAUGUGUGUGUGUGUGUGUGUGUGUGUGUAUGUAUCUAUCUAUGUAUGUGUGUGUGUGUGUGUAUGUAUGUAUGGCCGAUUCAGUGUUUACAUUAUUUCGAGUUAAAACGAGAGAUUACCUUUGCCUGUUUAUGUAACGGUCUGCUAUGUAGAAAACAAUGAGGUUGACUCAAUGGAAUAAUGACAGUGAUCGAAGAUAUAGACACAUUUUUUUUUAUUUAAUCGUUAUACAUGCCUUGUCGACUGCUAUUGUGCAGCCUUAAUGUCUCUGUUGAUGUGACGAUGGUGAUAUGGUAAGAAAAAGACGGGAGAGUUAUAAAAUGAGGAGGAGAUAUUCUUCUCAUGAGAAAAGAGUUGCAUGCAAAGGAAAAAAAAAGUUAAGUCUAUAGAUGUGCACAGAAACUGGGUGCAAGCAUGCAUAUAUAUGCAUGUAACAUGAGACAUGUAAAAGUUUCCAUUUGCAUAAUACUUGGCUGCUUGUCACUUCAAAUAAAGAGUAUUGAACUGAUAUUAAAGCCAAAAUUUUCCUUUCGCUACUAUUAGGAAGUUUUUCAUUUUUACUUUCAGAGUUAAAAAAUGAAUGAUUACACUUAUUUGUUUACAUGCGAACUUUUGUUUAUUUUAUAUCCUUCUAUAUGUUGGAUAUGCAAAUUUCACGAAGCGGGGAUAGACACAACUGUCUUCACACAACCCACUUCAGAUUACUCUACUAAACACAAUACUUCUAAUAAAUAUAAACUCUGAACAAUGUCAACAACUUCCAUGAACUCCCAAUGACUCUCUUUGUCUCAACCAAUAUGCUAAUUUUUUUAUAAGAGUUUUGCUAGUCCAUUCUUCCAAUCCCAUAGGGGUGCCAAUGACUCUCACUACAACAGUUUAUACAUGUAGACUUUUCUUUAUACAUGUAGAUUUUACCAAGCAAGUAGCCCAUGCGAAGCUUCACCUAUAUGUAAGUACAUAAUUUUUUUGUUAAAUUAAGUUUUCUGUUAGUUAACCAUAGCUGUUUGUAAAUUGAACAACUGUUUCUCUGUGUAUAUUGAACAAUUUCCAUAAGACAUAUAUGUUUGCAAAUUUAAAAUAUGUUUGUUUCCCAAUGCCAUGGUUUAGGGUCUAGUUCUACUGUGUGGCAUUUUGGGCAAGAGUCUUCGACUAUAGGUAGGGACCAACAAAUGCAUUUUUAGUGAAAGUGGUUGAUGGGAACUAUAUGAAGCUUAUUGCAUGUGUGUGUAUACACCAUAUCAAUUAUGUGAUGCAUGUUAUAGGUAACUGUUGACAAAAAGUGCAAAAUACUCAUUGAAAAAUCAAAAUAAUUUAGGUAAUGUCAAGAAGGGAUGUGGAAUGGAUAGUGAAAGGUCUGGCUUGGAAGGUGUCCCACAGUAUUGCUGCCUGGGCCUAUGUGUCAUCUUGCUACUGCAAGAGAGUACAGACCAUUGAAUGUUUGUGAAAUAUUGGCAUCUAAGAUUAUGAACUCUUUGGAUUUACUGAUUACCUUGAUGUCAGUGAGAUUGCCAUUGUCAAACAAGAGAUUUGUUACCUUAGUAAGUGUCUACCCUCCAACCAUGUGUUCCUCUGAAGAGAAAAAAAGGACUAAUAUUUUAUCUUUCAUGAAAAAAGCUUCUGUGCAGUAUUCUUUCUGCUUAUAAAAUCUUCAUACUUGGUGAUUUCAGAGAUAAAAAAAAUUGGGAUAUAAUUGGGAAACAUGAAGCCAGAAAAUGCAAUAGUAAUGGCUUGUUUAGUACUGCAAAUGUGUUCGAUUUUUGCAUAUACUGGGUAACUGUCAAUCUCCUAGUGUGGAGCAUGCUGUAUUUGAGCACCAAAUAUGUGGGAGUAUUUAUGUGAUCAAGAUGAAAGGCAAUUAGGUCUCAUUAAUUUCUGUUUGGUGAGUUGGCCCUGAGGAAAAAUCUAGGGAACAAAUUGAAAUUAAGGCAUGAAUGCAUUAGAGACACUUAGAGGAUCUAGAUCAAAUUAGAGACAGUGAAAACAUCACUAAGUUUUUGAUGGAAAAAAUUGUUUCAUGUUGGAAUGAGUGAAUUUGAAUGAAUGUCAAUAAAAUCUUAGUGUGCAUGAAAAGCUUGAGAGAGAUUUUUGAAAAGGUCUUAAUAUUAAUGUUUCCAUUGUGUUUUGCUUCAAAAACUACAUAGACAUGACAGAAUUAAAUAGACAUCCUUAUAAUUGUUAAAAUUUAUUUAAAUUAUUUAUUAAUUAUUAUAAUGUGAAUAUCUAAUAUUUAGUAGACAGGCUCCUUGCAUUUUUGAAUGCAAGGACCCUAGCAGGCAUGCUACUGAUCUGAUGAAUAUUCUCUUCAUGAUUUUCUUGCCAAGUUUCUUGCAGUAAUAUCAAAAGAUCUGGCUUUAAGGAUGCUUUCUUUUUCUUUUUAGGAAGUAUCCCAUCCAUCAUGCCUCAGAUGUGUUCAGUAGGGUUCAUAUCUGGUGAUUGGCUUAGCUAUGGAAGCUUUUUAAUGCCAUUCUCUUCCAACCAAUCCUGGGUCUUUUAGUUGUGCAAGAAAGCCCUAUCUUCCAUAAAUAGUGUUAUUUAAUCAUUUUACUCCUGGAGGUUAUAGGAAGAAGAUUUUUCUAUAAUAUGGACACAUAUUUAUCUGAGUUUAUGUAUCCCUCACAUUCCACCAUUUCUGAUUGACUAUUGCUCCAAACUGCUCUCUAGACCAUCACAUGUUUCAUUGUUGGCUGCAAUAUAUUCACGUGAAAAUAUUGGUGACUGAUUCUCCAGACCCACAUUCGAUCAGUGUCAGAAAAUACAGCAAAUCUGGAUUCAUCAGAGGAUUUGACUGUGUCCCAAAGUGCUAGUGACCUCUCUACCAUUUCACUUGUCCAAUCUUUUCUCCAUUUGAUAUUGGCUGGUCGAAGCAGUGUCUUCUUUCUUGCUGCUCUGCCAUAAUAGCCAAUUUUGCGGAGAUAACUGACAGCUAUUCUGGGACUGACAUCAACUUAUUCUGCUAUAUUGGAGGCCUUGCAAUGAGGAUUAUCUUACACACUUCUCUUAAGAAAGCAAAGUGUUGUCAGAGGGCCUUAGUCUACCUGGGUAAGGUGAUAUGGACUACUUUCCCGUUUAGUGAAUUGAAAAAUUACUCUAUUUACUGUAGAAAGUAGAAUCACAAUGUUUUCUGUGGUUUUAGGCUAAGUCAGCCUUGAAAUAGGUGCAGCAUAUGGCCUCUUUGUAAAUUGGACAUUUUUAAGGCUUCUUUUGUACAUGGCAUGAUUAAACAGUUACAUAUAGAACCUGAAACAUAUAAAUGUCAAUUAAUAAAAAAAAUAUAAACCUCUUCAAGUUAUAAUAACAAUGUGUUAAUGGGUAUCUAUUUACUUUUGUCAUGUUUGUGUACAAAUGUAUCAUUUGUUACAACUGCACUUUGAAAGAAAAAGAAAACCUUUAGUAGAAAAUUAGCAUUAGCUACGACAACGUUACCCAAC
rnacentral:lncRNA from 1 species